rnacentral:rRNA from 1 species
CUACGGGCGGCAGCAGUGAGGAAUAUUGCACAAUGGGGGGAACCCUGAUGCAGCAGCGCCGCGUGGAGGAUGACGCAUUUCGGUGUGUAAACUCCUUUUAUAUGUCAAGAAAAUGACGGUAGCAUAUGAAUAAGCACCGGCUAACUCCGUGCCAGCAGCCGCGGUAAUACGGAGGGUGCAAGCGUUACUCGGAAUCACUGGGCGUAAAGGACGCGUAGGCGGGUUGGAAAGUCAGGUGUGAAAUCCUACAGCUUAACUGUAGAACUGCACUUGAAACUUCUAAUCUAGAGUAUGGGAGGGGGAGAUGGAAUUAAUGGUGUAGGGGUAAGAUCCGUAGAUAUCACUAGGAAUACCUAAAGCGAAGGCGAUCUCCUGGAACAUUACUGACGCUAAGGCGUGAAAGCGUGGGGAGCAAACAGGAUUAGAUACCCUCGUAGUC